rnacentral:misc_RNA from 1 species
UUUAUUUUAUUUUUUUGUAUAACUCAGACUUCAAAAAUAUAGAGUAAAAAAGUUACUUCGGUAAGCAAAACACACUCACAAAAAUUAAUUUUGUCAGUGGCUGAGAUUUUUAACUUCAGACGUCUUACCGAAGAAAAGACAUUUUUUUGAUAAACAAAAAGGGUUAAGGUAAUGGUAUCAAAGGAUACCAAUCCCGCUAAUGAUCCUUCCGCAGGUUCACCUACGGAAA